rnacentral:rRNA from 1 species
UGAAUACGAGACGCUAAGGCGUCGAAGUAGUGUAUGUCAUACUUCCAAGAAAAGCUUGCACUGUCAUAAGUAAAAAAUGCCUGUACCAUAACCGACACAGGUGGGUAGGUAGAGUAUACUAAGGGGCGCGAGAUAACUCUCUCUAAGGAACUCGGCAAAAUAACUCCGUAACUUCGGGAGAAGGAGUACCUUAUUCUAUAAGGUUGCAAUAACAAGAUCCAAGCAACUGUUUAUCAAAAACACAGGUCUCCGCUAAGUCGUAAGACGAUGUAUGGGGGCUGACGCCUGCCCAGUGCCAGAAGGUUAAAGAAGUCGGUUAGCAUUAGCGAAGCUGGUAACUGAAGCCCUGGUGAACGGCGGCCGUAACGAUAACGGUCCUAAGGUAGCGAAAUUCCUUGUCGGGUAAGUUCCGACCCGCACGAAAGGCGUAAUGAUUUGGAUACUGUCUCGGAGAGGGGCUCGGUGAAAUAGACUUGUCUGUGAAGAUGCGGACUACCUGCACCAGGACAGAAAGACCCUAUGAAGCUUUACUGUAACUUGAAAUUGAAAUUGGACUUUAUUCGCGCAGUAUAGGUGGGAGGUGUUGAUUAUAAUCUUGCGGGAUUAUUGGAGCCAUCAGUGAGAUACCACUCUUGUAAUGUUAGAUUUCUAACUUUGAAUCAUUAUCUGGUCAAAGGACAGUUUCAGGCGGGCAGUUUGACUGGGGCGGUCGCCUCCCAAACGGUAACGGAGGCGUACAAAGGUUUCCUCUGAACGGGUAGAAAUCGUAUCUAGAGUGUAAAGGCAUAAGGAAGCUUGACUGUGAGACCUACAAGUCGAACAGGGACGAAAGUCGGUCUUAGUGAUCUGACGGUACUGAGUGGAAAGGCCGUCACUCAACGGAUAAAAGUUACUCUAAGGAUAACAGUCUGAUCUCCCCCAAGAGUUCACAUCGACGGGGAGGUUUGGCACCUCGAUGUCGGCUCAUCGCAUCCUGGGGCGGUAGUACGUCCCAAGGGUUGGGCUGUUCGCCCAUGAAAGCGGUACGCGAGCUGGGUUCAGAACGUCGUGAGACAGUUCGGUCCAUAUCCGGUGUAGGCGUUAGAAUAUUGAGAGGAGCCUUCUUUAGUACGAGAGGACCGAGAAGGACAUACCUCUGGUGUACCAGUUAUCGUGCCAACGGUAAACGCUGGGUAGCUAUGUAUGGAGUGGAUAACCGCUGAAAGCAUCUAAGUGGGAAGCCCACCUCAAGAUAAGUAUUCUCAUC